rnacentral:sRNA from 10 species
GGCUGGUUUCAGCACAGUGGUGUUUACAACUAAUUGAUCACAACCAGUAUAGAUCUCUUUAUUCCUUUUCCACUCCCACUGGUUCAGUUAGCUAUCCUUUC